GCUGAGUCUGCCCGUCUUGCUACGGCUGG
rnacentral:sRNA from 1 species